CUCAAGGGGCCUCUAUGUGGCAGCUCUGAGCUAUUAAGCCUCAGCCACCCUUAGGGGAACUAUGCAAUGGAGCAGGGCAGAAAGUGCCACUAACUUCAGGAAACUCUUGCUUUCUGACGGUCUUCAGGGAUUUUCACCAUAUUGCUGGCAACACAAAGUGUCUAUUAUUGACACUCUUCAUAAUAAAGCUGAUAGGAUCUUGACCCAGACUUCAGAAAAGAAUAUAUAACUCAAUAUGCUGGUGGAAAAAUCCCCUUGGAAUUAAGAACAAGAUUUUCUAAUUUAAUUUUAAAAUGUUACGUACUUCCAUUCCAAUAUAUUUGCUUUGCUUUCUAUUGGUGUACAUUG
rnacentral:lncRNA from 1 species